UCUCAGCUGGAUUUGGAACACAUUUUCAACACGACUUGCUUCAAAAAUGCGAAAAUUUCCACUUCUCGUGUACACAAAUUGGUUAUAUUUGUACUACUUCGCCAUAACACUUGUUACGAAGUGUGACACCGAUUUAAACAUUAUCAAAAUUACGGGAUCGUCUUAUCAAAAAACUAAAUAUAACACGUCAUAUUGCAAUCCCAUCAUUCCAGCGGGAUUCGUCACCGAGCUGGAAACGAGUGGAGAAUGUUUUAAUAUUUAUCCGCAAGAAAAUUGCACCGGGUCGUUUAUUCGGACCAAUUUGCGUCGUGGCAGUUACCAAGAACCGAAAACUUAUCAAUGGGAAUGGGAAAUUUUAAAAAAGGGGGAUUUACAAAUUGGAUCAGUGGGUCCUUGUUUUGACCGGUGUGACCCUAGAAAUUGGGGAGGAGACCAAAAACUAGAGGUUGAGGUUAAAUUCAACGACGGCGUUGAUAUUCCAGGGAAACAAAAAAUUUCCGUCAUGCUGGAUGGGAAUGGCUGCUCCUUAAUAACACGACGUGCUGCCUGGCGUGGAUAUAGCAUGGCAAUCAUUGGAGAUGCAUAUGCUUGCAUCGAGCUACAUUCUGCGCCCAACUGAGGCGGGGAAUACAUCCAAUUUCGACCCGGAUAUAUAGAACUUGACCUCCUCUCUAAAUGGAAUCUGGGAAACAAUUCUACCAAAACCUUGGCUAUAUCUCGAUGCGGGGCAUUCUGCAAUAAAUCAGUGCCCCACAUCCACCCAGAAGUGGGAGAAAUGGGCUCGGGGAAAAAUGUGGUGACGUUUUAUGCCACCAAGGAUUAUUCCGGAUAUUAUGGUCAACCCACCAAUGUCGGUCUCAACUGCGGCUGCGUAACUUUGGAGGACGACGAGAGAAAAUACGUCUCCAUUCGGACUUACGGCCUUUGUGUGGUCCUCUACCGUUAUCCGGGUCACCUUAGGGUGGUAUAUAAAUCUGAGCCGAGUAAUAUUUAAAAUUCUUUAUAAAUUUUAUGAUUGCCAAAGAAUUUUGUAAAACC